rnacentral:lncRNA from 1 species
AUAAAGACAAGUCAAAAGCUAACCAUUUGAUCAUAAGCAUCAAUCCCAUCACUAUCUAGCAGUAAGAGGUUGUAUUCGGUGCCAUCAAGAGUUGUCCUCCUAAGCAGAGUACUCCACAGUCAAAGACCUUUCGUACACAGCCGAUGAGUUGAUGCCACAUGAAUCCACUGCUCCUCACAAGAAGCUACAGCAAAGAAAAUGAAGCAGCACGUUAGUGAAAGAUGCUGUGAAGACAACACCAUAGAAGCAAAAAAUGCUAAAAAUUAUGAACCAAGUAUAUGUACUGCUGUGAUAGCAUAAUGUUGUACCUGCCGUUUUGAAGCUUAAGAAAAUCAACUUUGUCGAGAGAUGGUAC